UCAGAGAGUUUGAUCAUGGCGUCAGGAUGAACGCUGGCGGCGUGCUUAACACAUGCAAGUCGAACGGGCUUAGAUCGGAAGCUUGCUUUGAUUAGUAGUGGCGGACGGGUGAGUAACGCGUGGGUAACCUACCCUGUGCAGGGGGAUAGCAGCUGGAAACGGCUGAUAAAACCGCAUAACACGGCGAUGCCGCAUGGCAAUGCCGUCAAAUAUUUAUAGGCACAGGAUGGGCCCGCGUCUGAUUAGCUAGUUGGCGGGGCAACGGCCCACCAAGGCGACGAUCAGUAGCCGGCCUGAGAGGGUGAACGGCCACAUUGGGACUGAGACACGGCCCAAACUCCUACGGGAGGCAGCAGUGGGGAAUAUUGGACAAUGGGGGAAACCCUGAUCCAGCGAACGCCGCGUGAGUGAAGAAGUAUUUCGGUAUGUAAAGCUCUAUCAGCAGGGAAGAUGAUGACGGUACCUGACUAAGAAGCACCGGCUAAAUACGUGCCAGCCGCCGC
rnacentral:rRNA from 1 species